rnacentral:rRNA from 1 species
GACGAACGCUGGCGGCGUGCUUAACACAUGCAAGUCGAACGGAAAGGCCUAGCUUGCUGGGUACUCGAGUGUCGAACGGGUGAGUAACACGUGGGUGAUCUGCCCCUGACUUUGGGAUAAGCCUUGGAAACUGUGUCUAAUACCGGAUAUUCAUUUUUCCUCGCCUGGGGAUUUGUGGAAAGCUUUUGCGGUUGGGGAUGGGCCCGCGGCCUAUCAGCUUGUUGGUGGGGUAAUGGCCUACCAAGGCGACGACGGGUAGCCGACCUGAGAGGGUGAUCGGCCACACUGGGACUGAGAAACGGCCCAGACUCCUACGGGAGGCAGCAGUGGGGAAUAUUGCACAAUGGGCGCAAGCCUGAUGCAGCGACGCCGCGUGAGGGAUGACGGCCUUCGGGUUGUAAACCUCUUUCAGCUCCGACGAAGCGCAAGUGACGGUAGGGGCAGAAGAAGCACCGGCCAACUACGUG